UCUUCGUCGUCCUCUCAAGGGUAUUUAAGAAAUUUUGUUUAGAGAUAUUCUUAGUUUGACCUGGAAAACCUGCGGUGCUUUGAUAGUCAUCUCCCUCCUUUGCAGACACGUGGUUUAUAGAUUACCUGCGAUCUCCUGCUUCCGCCAGCGUCUUCCCCGUUGAUUUGUAGAUAACUAUCUCGAAGCGUGUUUGAUGAUUCCCCUCGUUGUUGAAGAAUGGAUUUUGAGUCAAAGUUCUAUAAAGUUACACGAAGGUUAAUUUUACAGAGACAGAGGCUAUUUCGAAUUCCCUAGGUUGUGGUGUUAUCGGUGGCUGAAAAGGGGAAAUAGAGUGCUUCUUCCAUGUCAGUAGGUGUGUUCUUUAACCAUAGUCUGGUUUACUGUAUGAUGAAUAGAAGAAAUGUUAUCUUUUGGUUUUCAAUGUAUUGCUAAAGAAAGAGAUAGGUUUGGUGUUAUUUGUUGGCAGAGUUUGGACACUAAAGGAGAAUGAUAUGUAGUGUAAAUUUUGCUUUCGAUUUUUUCUUGUAUUUCUUUGUCAAUUUUGGAGAUAAAAUCAGACCUUUCAAUUGCCCUCACAAUCAACAGUAUGAGAAUUUUCGUAUUUAAAAUAGAUAAGAUAUCAUGUAGAAGCAUUCUUUUGUUUAUUGUUGCACAUUCUUGCUCUGCAUAAAUUUCUUUUGAAAUAAAAGAAGUCACAAUAUUAUUUACCUCAUGUAAGUGAUUGGUUUUCAUAUUGCUUCUCCCGAAUGAACACAAGUUAUAUUUUUUUCGAUACGUCUGAAUGAAUCACAAGUUUGUACUUAUAAAAAGACUCGUGAUUGUACAUUGAAUUUUGUUCUCUCUCUUUGCUUCUUUUUCCUUUAUUCUACUUCUGUGUUUCUCUGUUGGAGAAUUUCUAUUUCACAAUCAAUAUGCACACAGCCGUUUCUAAGAAAUAUCUUACUUUUGCACCUAAGAGUGACUUGUUGCUCCCAACAAGGUUGAAUCCAAUUUAGGUGUAUAUGCAUCUUUUGGUGUGUCAUUGUGGUUUUCUUGAAGUGUUUGUGCAGUAUUUUUGUUGUGUGUGUCAUCUUUCUAUUUCAAAUCUCUUGUUUGAGAUAAAAUUGCUGAACUUCUUGCAUUGUUGAUUCAAAAUUGUAAAAUUAUGACUACUCGAAAGAAAAUAUCAGUCUUAUAAUAUGCUUUGACUUGGUGAAGUCGGUCUGAUUGAUUAACUACCUCUCCGGGAGCUGCAUUCACAGGUGCAACAACAUUCACGUAUUUUGUUACAUAAUGAAAAUAAUAA